AGUGAACGCUGGCGGUAGGCUUAACACAUGCAAGUCGAACGGCAGCACAGUAAGAGCUUGCUCUGACGGGUGGCGAGUGGCGGACGGGUGAGGAAUACAUCGGAAUCUACUUUUUCGUGGGGGAUAACGUAGGGAAACUUACGCUAAUACCGCAUACGACCUACGGGUGGAAGCAGGGGAUCUUCGGACCUUGCGCGAUUGAAUGAGCCGAUGUCGGAUUAGCCAGUUGGCGGGGUAAAGGCCCACCAAGGCGACGAUCCGUAGCUGGUCUGAGAGGAUGAUCAGCCACACUGGAACUGUGACACGGUCCAGACUCCUCCGGCAGGCAGCAGUGGGGACUAUUGGACAAUGGGGGCAAGCCUGAUCCAGCCCUGCCGCGUGGGUGAAGCACGCCUUCGGGUUGUAGAGCCCUUUUGUUGGGAACGAAAGGCAGCAGGUUAAUUCCCCGCUGUUCUGACGGUACCCAAAGAAUAAGCCCCGGCUAACUUCGUG
rnacentral:rRNA from 1 species